AUGAACUCACUCCCGAUGGCCACUUCUCCUUGGCCUGCGGAUGACAUGGAGGUGUUGUCCCAAAGGCUCCCAGAGAUGGGGGAGGUGGCCCUGGAGGCGCCUCAAGGCGGCAUUCCAGACGUCAGACUCGCGGGGUUCAAGAUCCCUGCAGAUCGUGUUGAUGAGAGCCACGGUAAGCCAGGUUCUCAGUCGAACACUGUUCUGGAGCCUUCAGUGGUUCCGGACUCAGGCGGGCAGCCCCUCGUUAGGGAGGGAGGGCCGUAUGUAUCGAGGACUUUCGUUGCGCCCGAGGCACCGGAUUGUCUGCUGGAAGCGCUUCUCGAUGCUUCCCUAGAUGAAGAGCACCGUACUCUUAUGAGUGCGGUGAUUCAGAAGGUUUCGCCCGCCAAGAGCGGACUAACCGAAGCCUGCACCAGCCUCCUAACGGGCUUUGAGGUUGUGCUGCUGGCCGCUGCUGUCCAUACGGCCGAAAUCGCUGGCCUGAAGCAGGACUUGGAGCGGGCACAGGGAGAGCUCAGCCUCACGAGGAGGCAGCUCGAGGAGAGCAAAGAGGCCACCACCGAAGCGGUGUCUCUUAAGAAAGCGCUGUCCGAGGCCGAACACAAGGCAGCCUUAGAACGCGAGGAGCGCAAAAAGAAGGAGGCCCGAGUGGGCGAAGUACAAGAAGAGCUCCAUGAGCUCGGCAAAAAGUUCGAGUCCGUGGAGCAUGAGCUUAAAGCAAAAGAGGCCGAGCUUGCGAAGGCCCUUACAAGUAUAAAAGACGCCAAGGCCGAGGCCGAGAGGGCAUAG
rnacentral:rRNA from 1 species